rnacentral:rRNA from 1 species
CUCGUAGGCGGUUUUAAAAGUCAGAUGUUAAAUUACUAGGCUUAACCUGGUACUGUCAUCUGAAACUUUAAGACUUGAGGUUAGAAGAGGAAAGUGGAAUUCCUGGUGUAGCGGUGAAAUGCGUAGAUAUCGGGAGGAACACCAGUGGCGAAGGCGGCUUUCUGGUCUACCUCUGACGCUGAGGAGCGAAAGCUAGGGGAGCAAACAGGAUUAGAUACCCUGGUAGUCC